rnacentral:rRNA from 1 species
CACGUAGGGUGCGAGCGUUGUCCGGAAUUAUUGGGCGUAAAGAGCUCGUAGGCGGUCCGUCACGUCGGGUGUGAAAUUCCAGGGCUCAACCCUGGACCUGCAUUCGAUACGGGCGGACUAGAGUUCGGUAGGGGAGACUGGAAUUCCUGGUGUAGCGGUGAAAUGCGCAGAUAUCAGGAAGAACACCUAUGGCGAAGGCAGCACUCUGGGACGGUACUGACGCUGAGACGCGAAAGCGUGGGGAGCGAACAGG